ensembl:lncRNA HULC hepatocellular carcinoma up-regulated long non-coding RNA
UAGAGACGCUAGGCCGGCACUGCCUAGGUGGGCCGGGCGGUGCGAGGGUCGCCUUUCAGCCUUUACCUCUACCCACUGAAAUGGAGUAGGUCGGUGAGCGCCGAUCUGCUGGAGAAUCUCAUUAUCCCAUCGGCGCUCUGCCUGCUCCUGGCCUCCAAGCCUCUGAAGCCCCUCGGGUUUCAGCUGCCGGCUACCCUCGAGCCCGUGGUGCCCACGAGAGAGGCGACUUUACGUCAGCGGCCCUGGGCUGAGAUUUGAGAACGCGACCAAGUGGAGAAUGUUGGAGCCAGAUUUUAAAAUCCUUGUCUUCCUUCUGCGUGCUACUUGAUCUAAAUGAGAUACGGCAAAGUCACAGAACCUGUUUUUAUGUUUUUGCCUGAUUCAUACGGGCUUCUCCGGUGAAGAUGGGCCUGAAGUAACGCUUGGGUUGCUUCUGACGUUAUAACUCAUCCUGUAGCUGCAGCAACCGUGGUCCUUGCAACCUCAUAAAAAUGUUGCCAGCAUUGUUUCGAUAGUGCUGCUUAAUUCUUGGAAGGCCUCUUUGCUUUCUUCCCUGAGGUUCUUCGGACUUCACACAUUCCAGCAGUAGCUCUCUCAGCUCCUGUCCUGCACAGCUUUGAAGUGCUGGUGAUGUCAUUGAACUCUUAAGUGCAAGAUGAAACAAGUCUUUCUGGGGUUCUAAGUAGCGUCUUCAAAGUGUCUUCUGUAAAGACUUCUUCAGACUGUCAAUAGGAAGACUGAUAAACUCAGAAACCAGGAACCUUCAGUUACUCCAGCAUGAAGGAAUCAACUGCUAUAGAGACCACAUUCCCUGGAGUUUUAUAAACUAUGCUGGUCAUCAGAUCACUUUUAGACAUCAUGUAAGGAUGCCACUCUGAAUGCCACCAUGUAAGGAAGCCUGUCCAGUCUAUCAGGGGAAAAGGCGCCACGUGGAUAGAAAUCAAACCAAAAUGCCACAGCCAAAGGCUGGCACCAAGGCCAGGCAUGUGACCAAGGCAUCUUAAACCUCCCAGCCUCAAGCUACUGUACGUAGCCACAUGAGUGAGCACAAGCAGAAUCAGCAAAGGGACACUCCAGCAAACCCACAGAAUGAACCUGUAUUCUUUCCCAUGAGAUGGUCACAAUGACAGAACAUAAUCAAGAAGGAUAUUGGGAGAUUUAUCAUUCCUCAUCUUUUAAAAAAAUUGAUGUUUGAUUGACAUUUAUCAAAGCUUUGCUGCAUCAGUAAAGGCUCAAGUUUAUUCAUAUGUAUUGAUCCCCUUGGUUGUUCAGCUAAAUAAAGUUUUGAACAGAUUUGGAAUACAAAUCUUCAAAAAUGCUUUUCACCUGCAGCGUGAAACUUGAAGCUCAUCCCUUUGGCUCAAAGUCCAGCUGAAUUAUGUACUUUUCCUGAAAUUUUAACUUUGACUAUCUAAGAGUCUUACUGUAAGACUUCACUUCCAGAAAACAUUGAGAUAUAGGGACUCUGGCUACUCUACUGUGCCCUACAUACAGUUACGUCUUAUUUUAUGAUAGUAUUUUUAAACCUUGUUAUUUUAUAACACAUUUAUGUUUUGUAGAGGCCUAGAUAUCAAUGCAAAUUUCAAAGCAAGUGAUCAUGAGUCCUGAUAAGGAGAUAAUAUGCUUUGAAAUAGGAAGAAAUGAGACUAUUUUAAGAAUGACUGAUGGUGCCCUGGCAUUCCUUCUCCCCUGUGCCCUUGGAGGGUAUUUAGUGCUACCUAGAAUGUGAGUCAGAGAAGGUACAGAUAGGAAGAACUGUUCUCACACCACAGGAGAAGUAACAGCUCAAGGGCCUAGCUAGUCAGAGCAGUGUGGCACUGCUGCUCCAGAAGUCUGGCUUCAUCAGCAGUGAUGCAUGGCUCUGAGCUCUGAACAGGAAGCAUGGUUGAUCUGUGCUGAAGGCUUGGUUGAUCUCUUGAAUAAACUGAGAGAUGAUGGAAUGGUGCACAGUGAAUCUCCUCUGAAGACUGAACAUCUUCCUUGGACCAUGAUCAGUGAACAUACUGGAACAUACUGGAACAUUCUGACACCAUUUUCCAUCCCAACCCCUGUUCUCCCUUAGUUUUCUGGUCUUAGGGUUACAACUUGAAGUGAGUACCUUCCAUUGUAGCACUCAUUUCUAAAAGCAUUAAAGCCAAUUUUCUGACUCAUCUGUAUUUCAAGUCUAAAUGUUUACUUCAUUUAGUUGGAUUAAUAGCCCCAUAGUUUCUUAUUAGUGAAACUUAUUUAAAUAUGAUAAUGAACUAGUAUUUCUUGUGGUAAUUUCUGAUGCUGGAUAUGUGAACACAUAAUAUGCUCUCUUUAGUGGGAUCCUACAUGAGGACAGUAAUUGUAGUUCAGCAGGAUGUAGCUGAAAACACCUGGCUCCGCUCCACUCUUUACAUUGAAUUUUCUUCAAAAUUAAAUUACAUUUUGGGAAGAUUUCCAUUUGUCCAUAUACAUGUUUGAAAAUUGUUGGACAGCAUAAAAUCAUUUAAAAGAUUGUCCUAUUUCCCAUAUUGUCUCAAGUGUGUAUUACUGUUCAGUUCUAAAUUAUUGUUUAAAUGGAUCGCUGUUUUUAUAUGGCUGAAAAGCAAAUCAUGUUAGUUUGGGCAUACAUUCAAUGCAAUGAAGAGGCACUUGAACACACAUCAUAGGUGUACUUUUGUUGCAGAUAUAGAACACAAAUAUAAAAUGCACAAGUUAAAUCUGCCCCAGGAUAAUUCUAAUUGUCCCAAAAUACAUUUAUACACAAAUAUGACAUUGAAUGCUCUCUACUGGCAGGGCCAUGUUAAUGUUCUAUUAACAACAUGUUAAUUUGUUAUUUCACUAAACUAAGAUUACAGCUUUUAGUUGCUUAUCUAUUCAUAUGCUGUAUUAAUUGCAUGGCACAAUAGAUAAACAUGUUUUAGCCAUACGUUAGUUAUAGAGAGCAUGCUUGAUGGAUUGUGGACCUGUUAUGACAUCAAAAAUAUAGGCAAAUAGAAAACAUUCAAU